rnacentral:rRNA from 1 species
UACGUAGGGUGCAAGCGUUGUCCGGAAUUAUUGGGCGUAAAGAGCUCGUAGGCGGUUCGUCGCGUCGGCUGUGAAAACCUGAGGCUCAACCUCAGGCCUGCAGUCGAUACGGGCGGACUUGAGUACUGCAGGGGAGAGUGGAAUUCCCGGUGUAGCGGUGAAAUGCGCAGAUAUCGGGAAGAACACCCGUGGCGAAGGCGGCUCUCUGGGACGGUACUGGACGCUGAGACGCGAAAGCGUGGGGAGCGAA